rfam:Canis lupus familiaris chromosome 7, whole genome shotgun sequence.
ACCUGGGUGGCUCAGUGGUUGAGCAUCUGACUUUGGCUUAGGUCAUGAUCCCCAGGUC